GCGGUGACCCCAGCAGGUGCGGGCCCGGUUCCGGUUCCGGGCGGUUCGGUUCCGGGGGGUUCGGGCCCGGCGGGAAUGGGGAAUGCGGCGCUGCCACGGGCGGCCGCGGCCCGGGAGGGGCAGCCCUUGCCAGCAGGGGAAUCCCAGUGCCGGUGUCCCGCUGUCCCUGCGGCCGUUCCCUCCGGGCCUGUCCCGUCCCUGCCAGCACAGCCAGGCCCCGCUCCCGUCCCCUUCGGCCUCCUGAGGCGUUGGUUCUCCCCAAAUCCCAAAUUUAGCAGGAGAAUCCGAAGGUUUUCCACCACAGAUGAGCUCAGAUCCAAUCCCAACUCUGGGUUUCUCCGUGGCCUUGUCCGAGGCCGGAGCUCGCGUUCCCCGCUGCCCUCCCUGUGGCUCCUGGAUAAUCCUCCUCUAGGACCUGGAAUUGUGGAGGUUUUUGGAGCAGCAGAAGCAGGAUCUGGAAUUGCUGUUGAUAGAACACCAGAUCCUGAAAUUCCCUCUGUUUCAGGAUUCCAGGACUCCACGAGAGGGGUGCAGGAAGAGCCCCAAACCAGAGCUUUGGGGGCCGGCGGCGGCCGCACAGACCCUGCUCCGGCUGCUUCUCCGUGCUGAGCGAGGUGAGCCGGGAUGCGGGAAUGCGGGAAUUCGGGAAUGCAGGAAUUCGGGAAUGCGGGAUUUGGGAAUUCGGGGGAAGGUGGCUCCCACAGCCGCGUCUGUCCCGCAGGAGUCGCAGUCGAUGCCCUGGAAUUCCCGUGAGGAGGAUGCGGCUCAGCCGGGCAGGCGGGCACGGAACGGGAGGGGACUGGAGGUACCGGAGCGAGCCCUGGAGCUGCCCGGGAAUGGGGAUGGGAAUGGAGAGUGGGACGGGACGGGACGGGACGGGACGGGAUGCGAUGGGAUGGGAUGGGAUGGGAUGGGAUGG
rnacentral:lncRNA from 1 species